UCAGCCAGCUGUGCAUGUGGCGUAAGUUUUGGUGUAGCGUAUUUUCUCUGAUAGAAACCUGCCGUGUGCCUGAGCUGGCCUGAAUUCAUCGUUAAGAUGAAUACUUCUACUCUCUGCGUUAUCCUACUCGACACCACCUGCAUGUUUUCUGGCAGCCUCUGGGCGCUAUCGAUGAACGCGAGGGUUAAAAGGAGCGACUGCAUCUACGAAGAGUGAACGGACGGACAGUGCAUAGCGCAAGGCCUCGUCUGUCGUCCGAAAGGGUGCGGGGGCUCGCGUCCAAGAAAACUGAGCUGGGAAGCAAGAGGACAAAAUGCAACGAGUCUAUCUAUUCAAGCUCAGAUGUUACCAUGGCUUUCGACAGCCUGAAAUGAAGCAACAACGAACAACGUUACAAUUUUGGAGGAUGUUCAUGAUGAUAUAUGGUAUGUGUGUGCAGAUGUUGUAAUAAAGACCUGCGCAAUCUUUGCGAAAGCAUUGGUAGCGUACGAAGACGUGGUACAUUGUUUACACGUUCAUUCGCACAAA
rnacentral:lncRNA from 1 species